GAAUAGCAGGCGCGGUCAGGGAUAGUCCGCGUAUAUACGUAAUCCGAAACCGGCUCGACGUAAACGGAAGAGACCGUAUACGAUAUCCCCGAAGAGAGCGUGGCUCUUGUGAUGGAGAAGAGUGGCCGCACUGGGACGACCCGAGUGCCGUCGAAGAGCGAAUAUGGUGUGCCAGGUCCAUGGGAAAGCACCCUGGGGCCCUCGACUUGCCCGAUGCCAGAGGUGAGCAUUAUGAGGUUCACUGCACAUCGCGGCCAAAGGUUAAAGAGACGCCAGGUUUAACGUGGUCGCUAGGAAAAAGUAAUUUUAUGGCUAAUACCGGAGGAAGUUUCAAAGAAGCAGGCAACAAGCUCCGUGCCGCUGUAUCUGAUACAAG
rnacentral:misc_RNA from 1 species